rnacentral:lncRNA from 1 species
GGUAGCCCUGGCUACCCUGGGCCCAUUCCAUGUUGGAUUUCUGGCCUCCAGGUUACAAGAGAAUAUUUGUGUCACCUGAAACCACCAAGUUUGUGACAGUUUGUCACGGCAGCCAGAGGAAACUAAUACAGUAGGUUGGUGGCCAGCGGAGGGCAGGCUGUCACCGGACGGGUUUGCAUCUUGCACCAGUUCAUGAAGAGUUUAGAUGGCCAUGGUUAGGAAGGUGACCUUGAUGUUAGAAUAACAGCAAGCCCUGAAGGAUUCAGAGCUGGAGAGAUGUGACCCAAUGACUGUGUAACCAAGACCUUCUUUGCUCUUGAUGGAGAUGGGACUACAGGAAGAGAAAGUGGGGAGAUGGCCUCAGUGUCUUGCAGGUGAGAGGCAGUGGGCCAGCCUGGGGUGUCGGCAGUGGAGGUGGACAGAAGAGAAGGGAUUCCAGGCAUUCUGGAGGCAGAUUCUCAAGUUUCUUAUGGGUAGACUGGAUGAGAGAGCUCGGGGGAAGGCAAGGGUCCAGGGUGCCUCCUAGAUAUCUGCCUUGAGUACCUAAGGACUGGGAUCAAUAGAAAACAAAUUUAGAAGGGGAAAGAACUUCUGUUCUGGAUUGCCAAGAUUGAGAUGCUUAAGUAGAAGAAGUCAAGUGGCGUCCAGGUAAAGGGUAAGGGUGGUACUGAAAUCUUGGUAUAUUAACUUUGAAAAAUCU